rnacentral:rRNA from 2 species
AAAUUGAAGAGUUUGAUCAUGGCUCAGAUUGAACGCUGGCGGCAGGCUUAACACAUGCAAGUCGAACGGUAACAGGAAGCAGCUUGCUGCUUUGCUGACGAGUGGCGGACGGGUGAGUAAUGUCUGGGAAACUGCCUGAUGGAGGGGGAUAACUACUGGAAACGGUGGCUAAUACCGCAUAACG